rnacentral:rRNA from 1 species
AGCUCCAAUAGCGUAUAUUAAAGUUGUUGUGGUUAAAAAGCUCGUAGUUGGAUCUCGGCAGUCUGAGGUUGGUUUACUUGCUAGUACUACUGCCCUAUAGACUGUAGUUUUGCCAGAGGUGCCCGGGUGCUCUUAAUCGAGUGUCCUGGUAUGCUGGCAGGUUUACUUUGAAAAAAUUAGAGUGCUCAAAGCAGGCUUUUACGCCUGAAUAUUCGUGCAUGGAAUAAUAGAAUAGGAAGUCGUUUCUAUUUUGUUGGUUUUCGGAAAUCGACUUAAUGAUUAAUAGGGACAGUCGGGGGCAUUUGUAUUCAAACGACAGAGGUGAAAUUCUUGGACCGUUUGAAGACAAACUACUGCGAAAGCAUUUGCCAAGAAUGUUUUCA